GACGGAGGAGGCAAGCGUUAUCCGGAAUUAUUGGGCGUAAAGCGUCCGCAGGCGGUUUUUUAAGUCUGUUGUCAAAGGUUACAGCUCAACUGUGGAUCGGCAAUGGAAACUGGGAGACUAGAGUGUGGUAGGGGUAGAGGGAAUUCCCGGUGUAGCGGUGAAAUGCGUAGAUAUCGGGAAGAACACCAGUGGCGAAGGCGCUCUACUGGGCCACAACUGACGCUGAGGGACGAAAGCUAGGGGAGCGAAAGGG
rnacentral:rRNA from 1 species